CUAUAACCACGUGUCAAAAUGGAAGCACUUGGUGUAAAAUUAUUGAAAGGAUACUUAAAAGUAUCACUACAAGAUAAGCUGUUGCCUCAAUUUUGGAGUCAUUUUGAUGCUAAUAAGUCAAAUUAUGUGAUUUUACAAGAAGUAUUAGAAGCAAUUUCUGAUCUAACUAACUCGAUAAGUUUCAAUAAUGUAAUAAAAGAAAUGAAAGGACUCUAUUCACUCCAAAUAAUUAGUGGUAUUAAUGACAAGUGGGCGGUGAUGUGUAAAGUGUUGGGACUAUUAAUAUGGGCGUGGCUAUCAAAAGGAGGCGUAGCUUUUAAAGUAGUGGAGUCGCUAGUGAAGGACUCAUUAAUAGCUUAUGAAACAACUAGAGAAGGAGGAGGAGAGAGAGAGGAAGAAGAAAUGGAGACUGAGACCCAUAUGGACCAACUUUGGUACCGGAAUGAGUUUCAGUUUUUGGUACAUAAAUUAUUGUUCCUUGGUCUGAGGGACCAGUUCCUAUCCCCAUUCUACUGUUCUCACCAUUGAAAACAAAGUUAAAGAUUAUGUGACUGAUUGUGGCUCGGACAGUAUUUGAUGAGAGUUUGUUGGGCGUGGUCACUGAGGAACUUCAGGAUUUAUUAGGUUGUUGGCUCAAUGCCAUAUAUGGUGACAUUAGUAAGGAGUGGUCUGGUAGGAUAUUACAUCACAUAUACAUUACAUUACAUAUACAAUGCUAUGGACGAUUACGGUAUUACAUGUACAUGUAUGUUUCAGCUUUCUUUGCUUAGGAUUUGUGAAUUGUUUGAUAUUGUUGAUUUCUCUGAUUCAGAAUCAGUGCUGGUUGAUUUGCAUGAGUGCUUGCGUCAAGUUGAUUUGAGAGAAGAGCUCGUGGAAUCAUUAACUAAAGUUUAUGAGAGUAGAUUACUCCACCAUGGUGCUAAUACAUCUGAUAUCAUUACCCAGUACAUCUCUUCAGUUCGUAGUCUAAAGCUACUGGACCCAACUGGUGUUGUAUUGGAAAGAGUAUGUGAACCAGUCAAAGCGUAUCUGAGGUACAGUGACACGUAUCAUGGCCAGUUUGAUUGAUGAUAGUAACAACGACCUUUUGGAGGAGCUGGCGAAAGGUGAGACUGUGUUGCUUGAUCUUUCUGAUGAGUAUGAUGAUCCUGAUCAGGACUUUGAAGCUUGAGAACCAGAUCCAGUAGAUGCCAACCCUAUGAAGUCGUCAAAAAGUUGGCAAACUUAAGAUAUAAUGAGGUAAGAGGAAAAGGAUAUUAAUGUUAUGUAUCAUUUAUAAAUAGAUGAAAAAAGCAUGUACUGUGGUGUAU